GGGAACUGCCCAAGGUUCAUGGAUUUGUCCUUUGUCGAAGGGGUGCGGGUGGAAGAGGUCAAAGCGGCGCCCUCCAACCCUUGUUUUUUCUUUUGUACUGGAGAAAACGUGUUUACAUGGAGCACUGAGAGCGGACCAAGGCCAUCCCAACUGCUGUGUUGUAAGCUCUUAGGAGAGACGAGAGUAUCCUUGCCCCUGUGGGGCAAUGCCCCGGCUGAGCCUUGGCCUCUCUGCUAUCUAAAGGCACUCGUUAGAGCCUGGGAUCCCCGUUGCACCAGAGAACCACUUGUUUCCUCCGAAUGAAGCAGCGCCUCUGCUGGCUGUUCCUCUGCUCGGGAUUUCCCUGGCUGUGUACACAGACCUCGACCUGUUCUGUAGGCUGUAGGGGCAGCGCUUCUGUGGCUGCACGGCUGUGAGCCGCCGCCUCCAGCAGCCCCUCCUGUAUCACUGCGGUGUUGUUCUACAAACCCAUGUUGGCACAACCGCCCGGUUCUGGCAGCAGGAGCACAGCACUCGGUUCGGGCUCGCUCUGAAGGCCUCCCGAUGCAUCUUCCUUGAUUAUUUUUUUUGGCACUGUUAAACGUGGUGGUGGAGCACUGAGUGGAUUUGAUGGGCACAGAUCCCACCCUUGGCUGCUUGGGUGUGGGGUGGGGGCUCAGCUGUUGUGUGGGAGCUGAGGGGGGCAGGGGGCGAGUGGGGCUGCGUGCGGGGCUGCGUGCCUUCCUGCUGCCCCUACGGAGCAGGGAAAAGAGGAAAGCCUUCAUCUGUAUUGUCUGUGAGCAGGGGGCAGCCCGGAGUCUGUGUGACAGUCUGUGACCGUGUGGCGUUGUUAGAUAUACAGCAUCGUGUGGUGGGGAGGGGGGAAAGAAGAAGAAGAAAAAAAAAGAGGAACAGAAACAAGUAUUGAGUUGUAACUUUUCCAUGUAAAGCGUUCUAACUGGCAUUAAACUAGUUGUGAAUUGACA